AUGCAACCCUAUCGUCUGAAUGCUUUCGGACUACGCACCCACAUAAAGCUUCAAAGCAAGUAUUAUGUACCUUUCCGUAUCAUGGCCAAAGUGAGGCGCGUCGCUUACAAGCUACUCCUACCUGACAUCGCCAACAUCCACCCGGUCUUCCAUGUCAGCCAAUUGAAGAAGCACAUGGGGCAAACGACUGUUCCUUGCACCGACCUUCCUCUGGGUCGAGCAGAUGGAUUGAUACUAACCAAACUUGUUCUAGUAUUGGAAACUCGCCAGAUCCCGCACAACAGCUUGCCUAUUUUCCAGUGGCUGGUUCAAUGGGCAAACCUACCACCUGCUGAAGCAUCAUGGGAGGAUGUGGCGUUCAUGAAUAAAACUUUUCCUGCAUUCCUCAAGAUGACCAUCGAUCGCUGGUUCAACAGAUCAUUUCCUUGA
rnacentral:rRNA from 1 species